rnacentral:lncRNA from 1 species
UUUAACAGAUAUUUCAUAAUUACACAUAUUAACUACAUAAGUUGUAGAUAUCAAUGCGAAAAAAACAGUUUUUUUCUAUUUCUGACAGUACUUUAGUAUGACUGGAAGUCUGUGUUAGAGCAAAGUAGAUGUAUUCAUCUUAGUGCCAAGAUCACUUUGUGGAAUCGGUACUGCUGUGAUUAUCACAAGUUUAUGUUAGAACAUGACAGCUGCAUUAAUCUGAGCGCUAAGAUCACUUUGUGGAAUCGGUACUGCAGACUGUUGACAUUUAUUACUGGUCAAGCAAGGAGCAUGGACCUCAACAACAAAGGGACAUAACUCGAUACUCUGUUCCUAAGACCACUGGGGUUUGAAGUGGAGAUUUUACUGAGAGGACUGAUUCUCUUUUCAUCAGAUUCACAUCCAUUUCAUGAGAGGUACGAAAAUAUAAUAUUGCUGUAUCUAGACAAAUUACUACUGAGUCUGUGAUCAGGAUUCUAAAAUAUUUUAUUUUUAUUAUUUAAAAUAUGCCAUGGUCGUGGAAGAGAUUGUGAUCAAAUACAAAAUCAUCAAAGGUUGUUGUCAAAAGAGGCAUUUUAUUAACUAUAUAUGUAUAAUGUAUGUUCAUUGAGAAAGGAACAGUUUAGUCUGACAGUUUGAAUGAGGACAUAUUCAUGAAGGAAGGAUUGAUGGCUCUACAUGGAUAGGUUGAUGAAAUGACAUGAUACUCUAGCAGGGAUUUACCUCGACUCACAAACAUAGGGUCCUGGGGACCCUUAAUUAUUAGUUUUAUGGGUGCUUGCAGGCAAAAUGAGGGUCUUGUGAAGUAAUGGUUUAGAGAACUGUACUUUUUGGUAAUUUUCUAGAGUCUGGAAUGAUCAUUGAUCAUGUGGACUGAUGGAUGAAAUGAUGCACGUAACUGCUCUGAAAGAAAAAAACAAACACCCACCAAAGUCAUAGAUGUGUUUUAGGUACAGUGAAUAAUAUUGUGCAUCCCUCUGGAUGCAGUGAAUUUUCUUCUGCAUCCAUUCUCUACAUUUGUGUCUACUGGAUGCAUGUUUCUGCGUCUCGUAAAACCCUGCUCGAUCCACUAGACCACAGCAUUCUGUUGGUAUAAAAAGCAUGACUCUAAGUCCAUGUCUUCACUGUGUGUUUGUGAAUAUGUUGUGAAGGCAAAGUUUGGGUUCAGACAAUGGUGCUGUAUUUUAUAAUUUAGUCACAAUGGAAAGUGUAAGUACGUGGAUUAACAUAAGGGGAGAUAACUCCACCUAUAACUAAAGGGGAAGAGAUAUACGGGAGAUUCUUUGGUACUUCAAAUUAUUUUAGCAGGUGUGUUGAUCAGGUGUCAUUCUGUUGACCUAUUACCAACCGUAGAUAUGCUCAACAAUAAUAAAUUAAUAAAUAUAUAUCGAUAAAUUGGUUUAUAAGUUGAUGAUAAUCCAAUUAAGACAUCCAAGAAAACUGUAUGAAGCACUUUUAAAAUAUCAGUAUCUUAUCUUGAAAUUUGAUUCAGAAAAUCUUAUAGUAAAUUUAUUUUCAUCUGCAGUUUUAGUAUAUUAGAGAUUUUAUACAUUAUAUUAGGAAACUUUGAAGGACAUUUCUCAACAGAGGUGGUGAUAUUUUCAUGCCAAGAACUCAGUGAUAUUGAUAAUUGAUAUACUAGAACACAUUAUUUCUCAUGCUAAUACAGAAAUUGUGUUGAAAGGUACAUUUCAAAUUAUCAUUGCCUCUGAUUGGUGUUGAACAAAGUAAGGUUGUUAGAGCAGAAUCAGAACUGUGUUCCCAAGGUAGCCAACACUAGUGUGUCUUUUACCUCUGGUUCAUCAUGACACAUAGAGAAUCUCACCCGAGCGUAAGAUAUCAUUACGUAGUGAUAUACAAUGUAUUUGAUAUCAAAAGACACAAGGGUGAGAUUCUAUUUAUCAUCCAAUAUCAUACUUAAUUUGUCGUUCAAGAGAAAUUGUAAACGAAACAUCACCUGUAACAAGUUCAUUUGAAGACUUGCAUAUGAAUACAUCCAAGUGAAUAAGUGUGAUGGAAGAGAGAACAAGUGACACCAUUAUGUCAUAAAAAAACAAGCACAUAAAAAAUAGUGCUAACAUUUAUUGCUUUAAAUUCUACAAUGCAUAAGUUUCACCAUUUCUUGGUGGCAUUUUAAGUAAACUUUUAUGUCAUUAGAACAAAUCAUGAACAAAAAUAACUCUUUCGACAUCAAAGAACAACUUCCAUUUGCUUACAGCUAAGGGAGAUGAAAGUAGUCCGAAAACAUUGACAGAUCAUCAAUUAGCUCAAAACUUACCAAAUUGAUAUCUUCUAGGAGAUAUCACUUGAAUUUCUACAAGCGAUAUCUCCUCUAGAAACCAGUAUUGGAUGAGAAAUACAUAUUUUUUACAUAUAGUUACUGACAGUAACUCCUCUGAUCUAGCAUUGCCGCCAUGCAGUUUUGUCCUCAUGUUCCGACACUAAGUGAAAACAAGGAACACAGAAGUAGUUCCAAUAUUACUCUGAAUGUACGAGAAGAGAAAGUCAGUGGUUCUGAUGGAUAAUAGUUAGAAAGAUGUUCUUUGUAUAUUUCUCUAACAUUAGACAAAUAAUCUCGUACCAUUCCUGAUCUGAUGAUACUAAUAUCGUGUGACACUUGCAGGUUCUCUCUGGGGUAAAAGUCUUUGUCUGACCUGUAUAAUCCUGGAUCCGAUCCACAAAGCGUUCGUAGCUCUACGACAUUCGUAAUCCUAUGAUAAACUAUAGAGUUACGACAGGUCGUAACAUUACGAAAACUUUGCAGAUAUAUGUAUUCUUUAAGAAUGAACACAUUCUUUCAGGAAAAUCAUUUUCUCACAGAAUAUGCUCUAUUCCUGACCUGAAGAUGCUAUUAUGUACCUUUAGGAGAAUAUUCCUUCCACAGUUUUAUUCCUCCACUUUAUGUGUCACAUCAAUAGUUUUGUGAAUAUUCCUUUAUGUUUCCCACAAAUAUAUCGGAUGAAAAUACGUUUGUAUAUAACAUAUGUAUAUAUUGGUACUAGUGUGUAAGUUAUAUUGUUCGAUUCAUUCCAAGGUUUGCGUAUCAUUCCUUCCAUACAAGUCUUCCGUCUCCAUAGCGACCCAAGGUCACUGUUGUACAUGAUAGUUGUAAUUAGUGUUGUGAAAGUGAAUACAAUCUGCAGUUUUUUCGGCUUCCACAUAUUGUUUUCCCCAGUUGUGUUCACUAUUUGUGAAUUAAGUGAAUAUGUUUAAAUGAUUUUUGCAGUAUUUCCACUUCAUAUCAUUACAUAUACUUUUCAUAUUUCAAAACUUCUUGCUUUAUUUGAAGAAUUACUCCAUAUGUGUGCUUUGACUGUUUUUCUCUGAAUUACUAACUGACCUCAAGAUACUUUAAAGAAUUCAAGACUAAAUUAUGUAUGUGAUUGGCAGUGAUUUGCAGAAGUUGUUGAGUAAUGUUUGCUUAAAAAGUCUUUUUUCAUCCUUAGUGCUAAUGAAGGAAAUAUUUUAAAUCAAGAAUUAAUUUCCCAGUUGCUUGAUUUAAUGAUAUACCGUAAUAUGGUACAUAUAAUAUAAACAGAAUAUUUGUAUCAUAUUAUCUUUUAUGUUAUCUCGAAGUCAACAAAACAUGAAGAAUAAUUAGUUUAUUUUGUUUCAUGAAGGGGAGAAUGUACACUAUGCUAUUGUCUACUGAGUUUAAGCCCUGUGUCUUGAUGAAAUCCUUUAUACACCAGAGUAUAUUUAUGUCUUAGAUUUGAUCUAUGCCUUUGUUUUAUUGUGUUACUGUCUAAGUGCAAAAGGAUCGAGAAAUCCAUCAUCAUCAUCAGCAUCAUCAUCAUCAUCAUCAUCAUCCUCAUCAGACGGUGGGGUAGCCUAGUAGUUAAAGCGUUUGUUUGUCACGCCGGAGACCCGGGUUCGAUUCCCCACAUGGGUACAAUGUGUGAAGCCCAUUUCUUGUAUCCCCCACCAUGAUAUUGCUGGAAUAAUGAUAAAAGCAGCGUCGACCCGUUCUCACUCACUCACUCUACUUCAUUAUCAUUAUCAUCUUCAUCCCCAUCAGUGAAGCCUCAAAUUCUGUAUUAUUUUUGAUAGGAUAACCUUUCAUAACUGUUCCAACAUUUCCAGAACAUUUCUUUGUGCAGUUGUUUCCGUAUGUCAGCACUGUGUCAGGAUGACUUAGGAAAUGAGUAAGUAGGGUUAUGGUCACUUUAAGAAGUAUUCCAGUUUUAUCAGGUUAUGUAAUGUAGAAGGAAAUCCUUAAGGGAUGUUUCUGAGACAUUAUCUUUUCACUUUGGUGAAACCCAUGAGUCAAAUAUGGUGCUGUCAAACCUGAACACAUAAUCAGGGUAAAUCUGGAUCCAUCACUGGAUCCUACUGCACAUAAGGGAGGAACCUCUACACAAUGAAUUGAACAUUAAGAAUUGGCAACAUACUUCCAGAUUCAUAGGUUCAUCCUCAGGAACUUUAAAGAACAACUGUUAUUAAAAUCUUUCCAUCUGAGAGUAUCUUUCAAACUUGCCAACAGCAAUUUGAAAAUUGGUACCUUGCUAAUGUUGUUAUGUAUACUGAACAACAUUAGAAAAACACCACCCAUAUGAUACGAAAUAUCCCCAUCAGAUUGAAAUGUUCCCAUGAUAUCUGAGCAUCGUCGGUGCAUUUUAGUGUGGUGUGUUUCUAAUGUUGUUCAGUAUACAUAGAAUGUUAAUGAAUUUGUUUCAAAUUUGAUGUUUUCCAAUGUAGGAAAGUCUGAAAGACAAUAAGUAUUACACUGACCUGAACACAUAUAUUCAAUGUCAUCCUGCUUGAUCAGUGACCAAUUAUUUUGUUAGGUCAACCCUGUGGGAAUGUUGGUCUUUCUAUUUUUUCAUUAAAUUUUUUUUUUAUUGUCUUAGCUGCAAAAUUGCACACAAUAACUCCUGUUACUAGACUUGAAUCUGUUUGUCUUACACUCAACCAAAGAUGAUUUCUAGGUGAUAAUCAACAUGUCCAAGACACAUUUUUGUAGCAUUUUGUUUUAAUCAGGGACCAUAAUGUAAAGAUUUAUCAUAUGGUCUCUAUUUAUAAAUAUCUGAGUCAUGAUCAGUUCUAUCACCUAGGUAUAGACUUUAUAAUCAUUUCAUCACAAACACCUGGGUAUUAAUGAAGAAAUAUGCUAUGGGUUGUGAAAUAUAUUAUUGAUGUUGCAUUGUUAUGGGGACUUAUUUUUGUGAAUCAUUAUAUAUUUAAUAUUGCACGGUGCUUGUGAUAGGGUUAGCUGGUAUUCAGUUUUAAGGGAGCUUCAGCUAAAGGCUUUUUUAUUUUGUGGUUCACACAUCUGGGUCCCAAUCCACAAUAUGUUCGUUGCACUACAACAUUUGCCUAUGUUAAGUCUAUGAUAAACUAUAGAGUUACGACAGGUCGAAACGUUAUGAACGCCUUGUGGAUUGGGACCCUAGGGCCCCAAUAUUUGUGGCAUUAGGGUGUCAAAAUAUAAAAAUAUUUGUUCCAUUUUCAAAUUUUAUUUCUUCAAAAUGUUAAGAUGUGGGGCAGGUGAACUGGGGAGAGUAGCACGUUUACAGAUAACUGUUUGCUUUAUUGACACAUAUCUGUUGAAGGUGGUUAUAACUUUUUGUGUUUUUAGGUUUUAAGGUAAGCUUUGAAAGGAUUUUAAUGGAUUAUUUUAAAUGAUGAAUUUAUAUUCAUGGCAACAGUGUAUGAGUUUGGUAUUUAAUUGUUUACUUAUUUCUGGUGAGCGGAAUAGAAAAAAACACACUGCUUUUCAUUAUAUUUUGUUUUCACAUUUCAGGAUUACCCAAAUUAUAAUAUGGGUUGAUUAUAGAUCCAGAACAGAAAUUGGCAGGACACAGUGCCUCGUUAAUGUCGAUGUGAUUCCAAAAGCAUGCAGGUAGAAUUGGAUCUCAUUUCUCUGUAGAUUGAUAACGAAGGUGUUGGCUGAAUUGGCCUUUCACAUUCUGAAUGGUCUCUAUUUUUCUUUAUGUUACAAAUAAUAGUUUAAUGUCAACAAAUACAGUUUGAUGAAAAUAGUUUUGUUUGCUGUGAGUUAUUGAUCUGUUUUUGUUUUGUUUUUAAAACCACAAAAAGUCAAUAAGUGUCAUGCACAAAAGAAAUAUUUAUAUGUGUGAAGUAAAUGUUGAUGAGAAAUGUUGACAAUAUGCUUACAGAUUAUUCUAUUUUACCCCUGUUCUAUCAUAUAUCAGAGCAAAUAAGAAAGAAAUAUAUCA